UCUCCUCUUCUUCCCAAAUUUGCAGAACUCUGCAAAUUCCUCACCUCCAUGUCCACUGCCACCAUCACCUUCACUCCAUACCCCGACCAUCAUAGGAGAAGCUCGUGUAGCCCCUAGUCUCUCUAUCUCGGUUAGAGCUUCCCCUUAGAUGCUACAACCAAGAGAGACAGACUAGGGUUCACAGUGCAGAGAAGACGAAGGCUUAGAGAUUUCGAGUAAAUAGCAGCAUGGAUCAAGCUUGGUGUGUCGAUGAAGGACAAGGAGACAACAAAUCAGAGGAAAAUGGUCCUGCUGCUGCUUUGCUUGCUUGCUUCCUUGAGCUGUUGCUUGCUGCCUUGCCUGCUCUGCUGUAACUGCUGCCCUGCUGCUGAGCCUUGUUGUUGCUGCUGCUGAGCCUUGUUGCUGCUGAGCCUACUUCUGAAGCUAGAUCAAAGCCCAUCUGGGCUGUGCAACAAGAAAAAAGGGUAAAAGCCCAACUGGGCUUCCCUCUAAAAAGCUAAGCCUAAACCCAUCACUAUUUUGUGGGCUUUUGUUUUUAAAGUUUUUAUUUUUGGGCUUGUAAUUAAUUUCAUUAUUUGUGGGCCUGUUUAAACACCCACCUGGGCUUGUAAUUCAAAAGAAUAACUUAUUAGCUGGGCUCAAGCCCACUGAACAUAGCCUCGGGCCUGUUUCCUUCC